UACGUAGGUGGCAAGCGUUGUCCGGAGUUAUUGGGCGUAAAGCGCGCGCAGGCGGUGCGGUAAGUCUCUGGUGAAAGCGCUCGGCUUAACUGGGCGAGGGCCGGGGAGACUGCCACGCUGGAGGGGAGCAGAGGCGAGUGGAAUUCCGGGUGUAGUGGUGAAAUGCGUAGAGAUCCGGAGGAACACCAGUGGCGAAGGCGGCUCGCUGGGCUCUACCGGACGCUGAGGCGCGAAAGCGUGGGGAGCGAACCGG
rnacentral:rRNA from 1 species